rnacentral:rRNA from 1 species
GACGAACGCUGGCGGCGUGCUUAACACAUGCAAGUCGAACGAAGAGCGACGGAAGCUUGCUUCUAUCAAUCUUAGUGGGAACGGGUGAGUAACGCGUAAUCAACCUGCCCUUCAGAGGGGGACAACAGUUGGAAACGACUGCUAAUACCGCAUACGAUCUAAUCUCGGCAUCGAGGAUGGAUGAAAGGUGGCCUCUACAUGUAAGCUAUCACUGAAGGAGGGGAUUGCGUCUGAUUAGCUAGUUGGAGGGGUAACGGCCCACCAAGGCGAUGAUCAGUAGCCGGUCUGAGAGGAUGAACGGCCACAUUGGGACUGAGACACGGCCCAGACUCCUACGGGAGGCAGCAGUGGGGAAUCUUCCGCAAUGGACGAAAGUCUGACGGAGCAACGUCGCGUGAGUGAUGACGGCCUUCGGGUUGUAAAGCUCUGUUAAUCGGGACGAAAGGCCUUCUUGCGAAUAGUGAGAAGGAUUGACGGUACCGGAAUAGAAAGCCACGGCUAACUACGUG